rnacentral:rRNA from 1 species
AGUAUAAGCAAUUGUACUGCGAAACUGCGAAUGGCUCAUUAAAUCAGUUAUCGUCUAUUUGAUAGUACCUUACUACUUGGAUAACCGUGGUAAUUCUAGAGCUAAUACAUGCUGAAAACCCCGACUUCGGAAGGGAUGUAUUUAUUAGAUUAAAAACCAAUGCCCUCCGGGGCUCACUGGUGAUUCAUGAUAACUUCUCGAAUCGCACGGCCUUGCGCCGGCGAUGGUUCAUUCAAAUUUCUGCCCUAUCAACUUUCGACGGCUGGGUCUUGGCCAGCCGUGGUGACAACGGGUAACGGAGGGUUAGGGCUCGACCCCGGAGAAGGAGCCUGAGAAACGGCUACUACAUCCAAGGAAGGCAGCAGGCGCGCAAAUUACCCAAUCCCGACACGGGGAGGUAGUGACAAUAAAUACUGAUACAGGGCUCUUUUGGGUCUUGUAAUUGGAAUGAGUACAAUUUAAUUCCCUUAACGAGGAACAAUUGGAGGGCAAGUCUGGUGCCAGCAGCCGCGGUAAUUCCAGCUCCAAUAGCGUAUAUUAAAGUUGUUGCAGUUAAAAAGCUCGUAGUUGAACCUUGGGCCUGGCUGGCCGGUCCGCCUCACCGCGUGCACUGGUCCGGCCGGGCCUUUCCCUCUGGGGAGCCGCAUGCCCUUCACUGGGCGUGUCGGGGAACCAGGACGUUUACUUUGAAAAAAUUAGAGUGUUCAAAGCAGGCUUAUGCUCGGAUACAUUAGCAUGGAAUAAUGGAAUAGGACGUGCGGUUCUAUUUUGUUGGUUUCUAGGACCGCCGUAAUGAUUAAUAGGGACAGUCGGGGGCAUCAGUAUUCAGCUGUCAGAGGUGAAAUUCUUGGAUUUGCUGAAGACUAACUACUGCGAAAGCAUUUGCCAAGGAUGUUUUCAUUAAUCAGGAACGAAAGUUAGGGGAUCGAAGACGAUCAGAUACCGUCGUAGUCUUAACCAUAAACUAUGCCGACUAGGGAUCGGACGGUGUUAUUCUUUGACCCGUUCGGCACCUUACACGAAAGUACAAGUUUCUGGGUUCUGGGGGGAG